rnacentral:ncRNA from 1 species
GAUUGCACUAUAUAACAACCUCUCUGCAAUCGCGGCUG